rnacentral:rRNA from 1 species
GAUGAACGCUGGCGGCGUGCCUAAUACAUGCAAGUCGAGCGAACGGACGAGAAGCUUGCUUUUCUGAUGUUAGCGGCGGACGGGUGAGUAACACGUGUAUAACCUACCUAUAAGUCUGGGAUAACUUCGGGAAACCGGAGCUAAUACCGGAGAAUAUUUUGAACCGCAUGGUUCAAAAGUGAGAGACGGUCUUGCUGUCACUUAUAGAUGGAUCCGCGCUGCAUUAGCUAGUUGGUAAGGUAACGGCUUACCAAGGCAACGAUGCAUAGCCGACCUGAGAGGGUGGUAGGCCACACUGGAAGUGAGACACGGUCAAGACUACUACGGGAGGCAGCAGUAGGGAAUCGUACGCAGUGGGCGAAAGCCUGACGGAGCAACGCGGAGUGAGUGAUGAAGGUCUUCGGAUCGUAAAACUCUGUUAUUAGGGAAGAACAUAUGUGUAAGUAACUGUGCACAUCUUGACGGUAACUAAUAAGAAAGCACCGGCUAACUACGUG